rnacentral:tRNA from 1 species
UAUAGCUCAGCUGGGAGAGCGCCUGCCUUGCACGCAGGAGGUCUGCGGUUCGAUCCCGCAUA